UUAAGUGGGACUAGAUUGAGAUUAUGACUUAUGGGUUAAUGAAGUAACCCUAAGUUUAAAUAUCCCUUUUAAUUCCCCAACCAAUGCCGAUCCCAUUCUGCCCUCUCCACCCGACUCUUCUCUGUUCUCUCUCGCAGACGAGCGACGGCGACAAGAAUGGAGCUUCGACCUCCGGCGACCUUCCUCUGCUGGCAUCGACACCCUAUGCUCAGCUCCGGCCGGUGUUUCUCCUCUCCAAGUCGUCUUCUGCCGAGGAUUCUUUGCUACGGUGGUGCCGCGGCCGAACAACGAUUCUUGGUGGCUAGGGCAAGGUAAGGAGCAAGAUUCGCGUCGUCUCCCAAUCAAUCGACCUUCCCUUUCCCCUCUUCUAGUUCCCUUCAUCCCGAUUCUGUUCGAGGGUUCUUGCCGAGCCUUAGUUUUGUUCUAGGGCCGUGGCAUCGAGCUAGAGCCCUCUGAUCGCCGGUGUGAGGUUACUUUAGGGCUUCGAAGGGCACGAGAUUGGAGAAGAAGGGUGAAGUUCUAUUCUGAUCAGUGAGAUGUGCUCGGGAUUUCAGCAGGAUUGUGUUCUGUGAAUUCAUCAGUGAGGGGCUGUUGAGGUGAGGAUCUGUUCCAGUGGUGUUUCCUUGCCGGCAGCACACAAAACCAGCAUCAACAGUAGCUUGAUUGAGGACUCUGAAUCGAGACGGGCGUCUCGACUUCGGAUUUGGAUUGUACCUUCUAUUUGAGGCGGGUACCCUUUGACUUAUCUUUUGAUACUAUCUUAUGAUAUGUAUAGUUUAUAUAUACUUACUAGUGAUUGGUAGAUUUAGCACUUCUCUGGAUUUAGGUUUGGUUGAUACCUAUCACAUGCUUCUACUGUUAGAUGCUUUACAUUAGUCUGGUUUACUUUUAUCUCUUGCCAUGUGUAUAUGUGUUCGUGGUUAUGGUUACUUAUAGUGCUUAUCUACCCAUGAUUAGAUGCUGGAGAUACUUGUUAUAUAUUGUUGGAUUCAUGUUGUUUAUAUCUCUGUUAUAUAUCUCGUUUACCUCUUUGGCAC